AUGUGGGCAGGUGCAAGGACCUGCAUGCAGCAGCCUGCAGCUCGGAGGUGCUGCUGCUCAGCACAGGGCUCGGUGGGUUUCGCACUUAGCGACUGGACGGUGUGGUCCUCCUCAUGGUACGGGAGGGGCCGAGAUCUGUGUGGGAGCAGAUGGCCGCUGCUGUUCCAGCACAUUCUCGGUUCUUUUUGUAUACUUAACAAUAUUUUGUAUGUGACAAGAGUUUUUAUGUACUUCGGUAUAUCUUAUGACACAAAAUAUUUAAUUAAAAGGCAUUUGAUACCUCUCGUUCCCAUUUCAUCUAAUUUCUCACACACCCCCAAAGCCUCAGCGACUGCUCUCCUUGGAACGCCGCCCCUCUCCCACGGCGCCCGUGUUGCCCUGGCUGGGGGACGCGGAGCCGCCCCUUCCCGGCACCGAACCUCGCCGCGUUCUUUCCGAGGCAGCGCUCAGGCGAUUCCACGGGGGCGCUGCGAAGCGACCCGCUCCAUUCACCGCCCUCCCAGGCGCCGUGGGCGGGCCGUACCGCUGCCGUCACGGCGGGCGGGCCGGGCGGGCGAGCUGCGGCGCCGCCCCGCGUUCUCGGGCCGUGGCAGGAAGCGGUUGGGACGGGCGGCGCGCGGCGGCGGCUCCCCGGCGAGGGGCGAUGACGCGGCGCCUGUGAGAGGCCCUCAGCGCCGCGCGGGCCGCCAUGGGCUCCCCGCCGCUCUCCCCGCCGGAGCGCGGCCGCCGCGGCCCGGCCCCGCUGUCCGGGGCCGCCGCGCUGGCGCUGCUCGUGCUGCUGGCGGCGCCGGCCGGGCUGCGCGCCGCGCCGGAGGAAGAGCCCGGCAGGAACAAGGUGCCGGCGGCCGCGCCUCAGGGAGCGGGGCAGGGAGCCGAGCCGCGGGCCGAGUUUUGUUUGGCUAUGCCACAACAGUUAUUCCCCGUGUGUAUACAUACUAUGUGUCAACUGCACUGUUUGCAAUUUUUGGCAUCAGAAUGCUUCGAGAAGGCUUGAAAAUGAGUCCAGAUGAGGGCCAGGAAGAGCUGGAAGAAGUUCAGGCAGAAAUUAAGAAAAAAGAUGAGGAACUUCAGAGAACUAAACUGUUAAAUGGGCCAGGGGAUGUGGAAACGGGAUCAACUGCCACUAUACCUCAGAAGAAAUGGCUCCAUUUUAUUUCUCCCAUCUUUGUACAAGCGUUUACUUUAACAUUUUUAGCAGAGUGGGGUGAUCGUUCCCAGUUAACAACCAUCGUCUUGGCAGCCAGAGAGGUGAGUGCUGCAGGAUGCCCCUUCUUUUGCUCUCCUUGGGUCGUCUGCAGGAUCCUUACGGUGUGGCAGUAGGAGGAACGGUGGGACAUUGUCUAUGCACUGGUUUAGCAGUUAUUGGAGGGAGAAUGAUAGCACAAAAAAUUUCUGUUAGGACUGUGACAAUCAUAGGAGGCAUCGUCUUCUUAGCUUUUGCAUUUUCUGCACUAUUUAUAAGUCCAGACUCUGGUUUUUAAAUAUUUUUCAUCGCUGCGAAAGGACAAGGAUGGGAAGCAUCUAGCAGCUAUCCUUGUGUGGUUUUGUAUAUAAAUGUACAGAAUUAUAGUUAAACAAGCACCGAAGAUGAGACACUGAACUUUUUAUAGCAAAUGAUUGGUGGGAUUGACACGUUUAUGGACAGCUUCUGCGGUGGAGAUCUGUUUGCUGUCUGGUUUGUAUGUUCUGUGGUGCCUGCUACCUUGGUAGGAUUUGCGUGGUUUUCUUGUUUGCUGAACCUGGCUCAGCUGAGUUUUGAGAAUCUACGUCCAUAAAUGUUGGAGCUUUCUUUUUUCCUCCUCUGUUACACAUGGCCCCCUUUGCUGUUGCUUCUGGAGGUUAUUCUUAUGCCUUCUCUGAAGCAGAUCGGAGCGUUUUGUUUCAUAUUGUUGAACAAAGCAUUAAAGAGAGAACAGUUGACUCCCACCUCCAAAGACUUUGGUUCCAGGACGUGCCUGAGGCUGGAUAAUGUAAGUAAGAAAAAGCCAGGGAGCACUUCCUAUGCCGUUUAGUGGCUGAGCCACCAACAGAUAAUAUUAUAAAUUUCAUUUAGAGGGCAAACUUCUUAAUCAGGGACUUUUAUCAGGAAAUUGUGUGUUGAUUAACAGCCUGCCGUGUUCAAUGUGCAAUCUGGAGCUAGUAGUAUUUGACUUAUUUUUUUUCUCCUUUUUUUUUUUUUUUUCCUUUUUUGACUUUCAAAACUUUAUAAAGUACAUGGAAAGUAAUAAAGUGGUCCAGCUUAACCGUGUUUCAUUCCCAGGACUGAACAAUAAUGGAAUCUUUAGAUUUAGAUAUGUUCGUAUUUUUCUUUUUAGGAAUAGAAAUGUAAUCUGGAGGACUAUUAAUAAAACACAGUGUCUCAAUUUGA